rnacentral:lncRNA from 1 species
AGGAGUGAACUAAGGAUAAAAACCUGCAGAUCUUGUUCUAAAAAGUUCCCAGAGUCUUAAUUCCAUCUAUCGGAUAUUACAGGUUAAGAUGACUGACUCAUCGACCCAUAAUAUUCUCAAGAGAAACUCGUCUGAGUGUAGUAUCGUGUAACAACUGUUAAACUGUUAUCAAGUCUACACUUGAACAGUUUCCGCACUACGUCCUAAAUAGGCCAAGAUGGGUUAAAUGUUCUAAGGUCCU